rfam:Ovis aries breed Texel chromosome 8, whole genome shotgun sequence.
UCCCUGAUAGCUCAGUUGGUAAAGAAUCUGCCUGCAAUGCAGGAGAUCCCAGUUCGACUCCUGGGUCAGGACA